UUUUGAAAAGAAAAAAAAAAAAAAAAAGUCGGCCGGGGACUUUAAUGCGCGUAAUAUAUGAGUAAAUUGAUUCAGUGGCGGAGAGAAGAGGAGCGGCUGGAGAGCAGCGGAAUAAAUGCUGCGGUGCGGGUGGGAUCGGCUCGAGGCUGUUUCAGACGGAGGAGAAGGCGGAGGAUUUGAUGAGUGUUGGUGCUGCCAGCCUUUUCCUCUGGAAUGUGGCAGGCGUUGUUGCUGCGCCGCCCGACUCCUCCAAUAACACCUCCCACCACUCCAACCCUCUCUCUCUCUCUCUCUCUCUCUCUCUCUCUCUCUCUCUCUCNUAUUUUAGUAAAAAUUAUUUUACUAUUAUUUAAUUUUGGUGAAACAAAUUAAGAGCUUUCAAGUUGAAGGAUCAAACAAUAUGGUAGGGUAAGUAAUAAAGGGAGAAGCUCCAAAUUCCAAAACCGCCCCUUCCACCCGUCACCUUCUCAUCCUACGUGCACUACGUGUGCAUGGCUCACAUGCAUUGUCACUGCCUAUGUCACGCCACUCAACCCACCCCCCACCUCUCUCUCUCUCUCUCUCUCUCUCUCUCUCUCUCUCUCUCUCUCUCUCUCUCUUACUGUUGUUGCUUCUUCGAUCUUCUUCUCCCUUCUCUCUCGACAGCACUCUUUCGAGCCUCUGUAGUGACGUCUCUCUCUCUCUCCCUGUACUAACUAUUAUUAUGCGUCUCUUCUCUCUUCCUAUGAUUGAACAGAACAGAACAGAAUUAGUAGAAUAGAUUAGGAUAGGGAGCAGUCACCACUCACCAG
rnacentral:lncRNA from 1 species